UACGUAGGGUGCGAGCGUUGUCCGGAAUUAUUGGCGUAAAGAGCUCGUAGGCGGUUUGUUGCGUCUAUCGUGAAAACCUGCAGCUUAACUGUGGGCUUGCGGUGGAUACGGGCAGACUUGAGUUCGGUAGGGGAGACUGGAAUUCCUGGUGUAGCGGUGAAAUGCGCAGAUAUCAGGAGGAACACCGGUGGCGAAGGCGGGUCUCUGGGCCGAUACUGACGCUGAGGCGCGAAAGCUAGGGUAGCGAACGGG
rnacentral:rRNA from 1 species